AUACUACAGAAAUGGAUAACAAAAUCUAUUCAAUCUUAAAUUGUAGUUUAUUUGAAUUAUUGUACAAAUUUCAAGUAGAGAAAUUACAACACUUUUCUGAUUCUUGAUUUCUGUGCAUUUGCUGCAUAGCUUUUGUGGUGGAGCAAGACCUGCAAGGAAAGAUGAUGGCAGCAUUUGUUUUAGGGAUUUUACUCAAAUAUAAAGAUCUGAAAUGUCUGCAGACUGGUGUGAGCACUGAGGAUGAGGAGCCUAGAGCUGCAUCCUGGAAGUGGUGCCAUGGAUGAGUCCCUCCAUCUCUCCACCUGCCCUUACGAGACCCUCUAUCUCUCCACCUGCCCUUAUUGCCUCAGAUUGUGAAGCGCAGCGCAGCAACAAGCUCCGGGACGAAGGCACAGUCCCCUCUGGUGAAUUCAUCAGAAUAAAGCCGCAGAAUGGGAACCGCUGUGUUGAGACGGCAUUAGGAUGUGGUGUUCAGCCCUGUAAAUACAUGCUUGUAGUUUGAAUAAAGCUUUGUUUCAUGUGUUGUUGACUUGUA